AGCUCCAAUAGCGUAUAUUAAAGUUGUUGCAGUUAGAACGCUCGUAGUCGGAUUUCGGGGUGGGCUGACCGGUCUGCCGAUGGGUACGCACUGGUCAGCGCAUCCUUCCUUCCGGAGACAGUCCCUACUCUUAACUGAGCGGGGGCUGGAAACGGAACGUUUACUUUGAAAAAUCAGAGUGUUUCAAGCAGGCAGCUCGCUCUUGCAUGGAUUAGCAUGGGAUAAUAAAAUAGGACUUUGGUG
rnacentral:rRNA from 1 species